CAAAGAACACCAUGUACACAAAGCUCAGGAGCCUGGGGUAGCUAAGAGGAUAAUCAUGAUCUACGCAUAUUUUCUGAAGCUCAGAGAGAUGCCUUCCAGGCCUGCCUCCCACCAGUUGGGAGUCCGUGGAGCCUGGAUUGUGGAGACUGCGGUGGAGUUCGCUGUGUCCUGCUGCCUCCAGUCUUACAACUCCAAAAUAAAGUCCUUUCCUGACACUG